UCGCCCUACUGUAGAGGAAUCUCCUGGUGAUGUAAAGGCAGCAUAGGUUGCUCUGUACCACCCUUGCUUUCCUUUCUGCAUAGGAGCCAAGUGGCAAUCCUGGGCUGUGGAAUGGCCCAUAGGGUUGCUGUGCCUUCUCUAACUUGUACUGGGGGUUAGUUUGGCUGCAGCUGUGUUCCAGGAUUGGGGAGGCCCCCUUCCCUCCAAUCCAACGGCAGGAUAUGUUCAGCCUUGUGUUCUCGAUCCAGCUGCCGAGAAGUGGUGGAAAUCAGACCUGCCAAGAGAGAAAUAAUCUUUGAGUUCCAAGCCUCAUAGGAGGGGAUGGCACAAAUUGCUCUUCCAACUCGCCAGCCAGAGCCAGAGUUUCCAAUGCCGACAUUACCCCUUAAGUAAAUGAAUGGAAAAAAGCAAGAGGACUGUGGGAAGAGAACGUUUCCUGGCUUCAAACUAGCAAACUUCCCAUUCUUGUCGUCUCCUCCUCCGAAUAAUCUUCAGGCUGGUCCUGAAGAUCACUCGCAAACUAACUCAGGUCCUGUACCGGCUUUAAAGUUCUUUUCCAACUGGAAGAAAAGUUUGCAAGGCCAGGAAUGCACAAGCCCUGUGCUUGCAGCCUGUCCGAGCCCAUGUGCUGAGCAAUGGGAACAGAUCAUUUCUGCCUGCAGCAACAGAAUGCCUCCUGCUCAUUGUCAGAAUAAGGAAAAAGAAAGCCAGGCAUGUUGGAACAGGAGCAGCAAUCAACAGCGCACGGGUAUCAGGCAACAGAAAACAACAGCUUCUGCUGGCAGAGCUGGGGAUAGGGGUCUGACCUCACGCCCAACUCGGGCAAGAGCAGAACCCAAAGAGUUAAAACAGGGAGCUCCAAGGUCAAGGGCACCUGAACUUUUCACCACAAGGUCCUGAAAAGGGAGGAGGUAGUUUGCUUGAAAUCCCCUCUCUCUUAUAUUGUCCCCUUCCUUCUUUCAUUUCUCCCCCUCUCAUGUGCUUUCUUACCUCCCUCACCCUCUUCCUUUUUUUCUGUUCUCCCAUUUCACCUCCUCAUUAGAUCCCUCUCCCUCUUUCUUUCUUUUGGCACAAAUUGUUAAUGGUGAGGGCAAUUAACCACUGAAACGAACUAUCAAGGGCAAGGGUGGAUUCUCCAUCUCAUGUCAUCUUCAGAUCCAGAGUAGAUGCCUUUCGGGAAGAUAUGUUUUAGCCACACACAAGUUAUUGGGCUCAUUAAAGGGACAACUGGGUGAACGUUAAUGGCCUGUGACAUACAGGAGGUCUGACGAGAUGAUCUAACAGUCCCCUCUUUCCUUAUAUCUCUCUGUGACAGAAUGUUCUCCCCACACUAGACUACAGAGGGUUAAUGUGGCCCAGGUGGGAUUAAGUAAUCCAAUAGGCCACAUCUGAGGGAGAAUGAGCCCUGAUGAGCGAGCCCUGAUUAAGGAUACAGGUGGGGCUCGUAUAAAGCAAGGAAGUUUACAGCAGAAAGGGGCUGCAGUGGGGAAGCCUGCAGUUGUUCUCCAGACUUAGAGAGGGAAAGGAGGAGACCCGGGGUAGAGAGGAAGUCCGGGGAUCCUGGCCCUGAAGGACGAGUUUACCUAGAAGGGUGGUGGAGCAGAAGCCUGAUAGGGCUGGAGUAGGGAAAGGCUCAGGGAAAGGGCAGCAAUGUUUGGGAUGGUGCAGACGUUAGCUGGUGAUUAGAGGGUCCCUGAGCAGGAACCUGGAUUAGCGGGCAGGCCUAGGUUCCCCUGCCAGCCCCUGAGGAAGUGGCACAGCCUGGGCAGUGAAUGGGAAGGCUGCCUGAGACAGUUCAUAUGGAAAUAAUAUGAUAUUCCAGAUGGGGGAAAACACAUUUUCCCCCGGGUGAGUAAGGGCUGUGCAACUGGUCCUUAGAAAGUUACAGCUGGGAUGACAUUAGCCCAGUAGUAACAUGGGGACAUUGGAAGUAACCAGGGGUCCAUACAUUCCAGCAUCCUCUCUCUGACAGCGGCCCGCACCACCUGCAUGAGGGGAAGCUUCAAGAACCACCCCUCAGUAGACAAUUCUGGACAAAGCUAGCCAGCAGGUGUAAGGGACUAGGGUGCAGGCAGUCUGGCCUAGCAGUCACAGCUAGGCUGAGGUCUUCAGGAAUCAGGGCCAGAGUCAGGCUGGAGAUGAAAGGCAGUACCGGGCUAGAAUCAAGAGGCAGGAAUCAGGGGUCAAAGUCAGGAUGGAGGCAGAGACCAGAUGAAGUCUGACAUUGCAGCAGGCCACCAUCUGUGUGGUUGCCCAGACAACUUCCUGGGGUUAAGUAGGUGCAGUUGGCCAAUCAGAAAGCCUCAUGAUACUGUCACUCUGGAUUUCUUGGGUGGUACUUCCUGUGGCAUCUAUCCUCCACCCUGUUCCCUGGCUAUACUUCUGCAUGGCUGCCCAGUGGCACUGUGGGAAUAUCAACUCUCUAGGCUCUGCAGACCUGGGUUCUAGUUGCUAGUCCCUUAUACAGGGGACACUUCUUCCUAACCCAUUAAUGGUUGGCUUGUUCCCUAAAGCAUGAGAAUGUCUAUCCAAUGUAAAAUGAUUCCAUCUAAUGUGACAGUGGAUGUGCUUGUUCUCCAUAUAAAUAUCCAGCCCUUUUUUUGAAUCAUGCUUAGCUCUUAGCCUCAGAGAAAGUGAGUUCCACAAGCCUCAAGUACUGUUCCUUUAAGAAUACAAAGUGAGAUUAUGAUUGCACUGGAUUUCAGCAUUUUGAGUGAAGUCAGCAGUGAAUGCUUUCCAUGAUGAGAAUGGUUUCCCUGGUAUCAGGGUCACCCCUGACACCAUCAGAUCUGCCCUGCAUA